rnacentral:rRNA from 1 species
UACGUAGGUGGCAAGCGUUGUCCGGAAUUAUUGGGCGUAAAGGAUGCGUAGGCGGAUAUGUAAGUCAGAUGUGAAAUACCCGAGCUUAACUUGGGUACUGCAUAUGAAACUGUAUAUCUAGAGUGCGGGAGAGGAAAGCGGAAUUCCUAGUGUAGCGGUGAAAUGCGUAGAGAUUAGGAAGAACACCAGUGGCGAAGGCGGCUUUCUGGACCGUAACUGACGCUGAGGCAUGAAAGCGUGGGUAGCAAAC